CCCUACUCUCUCCUCCCCUGCUACGAAGAAGACGUAACCUUCCUUCUUGAAUAUAAUUUUUCAUCUUUCAAAUCUCAAUUUCGCUAAUUACCUCAAUUCAUUGUUCAGUUUCUCGAGAAAUUAAAAGCGUAAAUCGUUGAGGCGUAAGGUAAGAUCGUUUCACAAUUUUCAUGUUAUUUUAUUUGCAUGACUGGUACAAGCGUUUCUGCUCAAUAUCUUGGUUUAUCUAUCAGCCUCGGUUCAUAACUUCAGAUUAACAUUAGGCAUUUGGAUGAGAGUGGAGUUUACAAUGGCCAUUUCUCCACUUUCGCCUUUUGUGGUUACAUUCGUGCACAGGUCUCUCUAUAUCAUAUUUCACUAUUGUUUCUAAUUUAUUUUGGAAUUUCAUUAUUGUUUGCGUUACUUGAUUUGUGCCUUACCGGUAGUUAUAUGAAAAUUUCUGAAGUAAUUACUUUGCCCUUUUUUAUGUACCUGUUGAUUUAGGCCAGUUAAUUAUGCUUGUAGCUUUGUAUUCCCCUAUUUGUUUGAUUCUGCGGUUGAUAAACUAUAUAUUAAAUUAAAGGGUUUUAUAAUUCUGAAUAGAAAUUUUCUUACACACCCUCAUAUAUUGAUAAAUGUUCCUUGUGGACAUUGUUGGUGGGAAUGAUCCUCCUAUUUCAAAUUACCCUCCAGUAGAGAUUGAGAAAGAUGGAAUCAAUAGAACCAGUAAAUGCAGUAGUUCAAGCUGCUCCAGUAGUGAAUCUGGAACCUCAUCCAGUGGUUCGUGUUUCUUCAUACUUUUGACAUGUUUCUUGUUUCAGGAUGUUUUAAGUCUCUUCGGAUUGCACAUGUAUACCCAGAAUUUGCUCUUCAGUCUUAUUUGUUCUAAACGGGUACCCCUGCAUUGUCAUACAAUCCAAAUUUCUGUAAAAAAAUUUAAGUCCUUAAACUAUUUUACGUGCUUGGUUUUAAGUCCUUAAACUAUUUUACAUAGCAGCUUCUUACGAAAGAUAUUCCAGUGUCAAUUUCGUUCUCCCUUUUUAUCUGUUGCUUCCCCUCCCUUACCCCUCCCUUCCACAUUCUCAAUCUCUAUUUUAUUUUAACACAUUUACUUAUCCUUGUUAGAUGAUAAAAUUGCAAGUGGAGAUGGCACCGACGAAAGUCAAUUGAGCUCAAAAUCAGGUUUUCUGCUAGUAGACAUGGGCCCUCGACAAUAACCCACCGCACUGCAAACCCCAUCUCUGCCCAUGGCUAUGCAUGUAAACGUGUCUGUUUCUGUCAGGAGUGAUAUGUACUGGCCCAUCCUCUUCAGGGAACCAUUUCUGAUAUACAAUCAACUGAAUGCCCAACAACUAGUGAACCACAGAACUAGCAGGACAGAUUGGUACUUCAAUAUGAAAGCUUGGAAAAUGGUGGAGCAGUUUUUCAUUGUUGCAAAAGCUGAUUAUAUGUAAAUUUUCAAUACAUGAUGAGAGAGCUCUAAGACUGUUGUUCUUCUUCCACUUGUAAUAUUCCUUUAGUUCAAUGUAUCUUAUCUUAGUUGUAAUCAUACUAGGAUGUAACAGAGCAAUUGCCAUAUGUAUCUCAGUUGUAAUCAUAUCAGGAUUGUAAUUUCCCAAUUGUAAU